rnacentral:rRNA from 1 species
UACGUAGGCAGCAAGCGUUGUUCGGAGUUACUGGGCGUAAAGGGUGCGUAGGCGGCCGUGUAAGUGUGGUGUGAAAUCUCCCGGCUUAACUGGGAGGGUGCGCUACAGACUGCAUGGCUAGAGUGUGGGAGAGGAAAGUGGAAUUCCUGGUGUAGCGGUGAAAUGCGUAGAUAUCAGGAGGAACACCGGUGGUGUAAACGGCUUCUGGACCAUAACUGACGCUGAUGCACGAAAGCGUGGGUAGCAAACAGG